GGAAGAGACACAGUGAUUACUUCUGGAAAUGUACAUGUUAUUUAUUUACCAUGGAUUCAUCAUGAUAGUGCAUUGUGUGGCUACAGAAUGCUUCUUAAUGAAAAUCCUCAUGAGUAGAUGGAUGCCCUCUUUUAUAAUUUAAUACAUGGCUCUUCUGUGAAUACAGAUUUAGUAAAUGAUGUCAGGAACAGAACAAGAAGAUUUUAUUUAUAGCUAUACGUCCAUAUCCAGGU
rnacentral:lncRNA from 1 species